UCGAUUGGCACUGCAGUUUUGACAAAGACAAGUCAAUCAAACCGAAUCAACCGAAGGUAACUAAAUUUGCCGAUCGAGUUCAACAGGACAUGAACGGCAGAGGAGAUCAGUAGUGAAAGAGUGAGAGGGAACGCACCUUGGCCGUGGAGGAGUGGAGAGAGAGGAAGCCGUCGCGGUAGACCUUGCGCUUUCUGCUUGAGGUGCUUCGUGAAGGUAACUGUUCCAUUUCGUGGGAGCCUCAUCCAUGGCGGCGGUUUCUGCAUUGGGGGAGGAUGAAGAAGAAGAAGAUCUUCUAGGGAUUUCGAGAGCUGCAAGUAAUUGCUGCGAGAUACCGCUUCAACAAGAAAGCAUCGUAUUCGGGAAUGCUGGUCAAGCAAAUUCACGAUUCGUCCUUCAAACAAGAAAGCAUCAUCAUAGCCCUUUUCGAGAAAUUUAAUCACAUUCAGUUGGGGUUGAUUCUCUUGCGUCUGUUACUAUAGCGACAAAGCAUUUCUUCUGCCUGCGGCGAGAAUAUAUGCCUGU
rnacentral:lncRNA from 1 species